GACAGAGGAUGCAAGCGUUAUCCGGAAUGAUUGGGCGUAAAGCGUCUGUAGGUGGCUUUUCAAGUCCGCUGUCAAAUCCCGGGGCUCAACCUUGGAUAGGCGGUGGAAACUACCAAGCUGGAGUACAGUAGGGGCAGAGGGAAUUUCUGGUGGAGCGGUGAAAUGCAUUGAGAUCAGAAAGAACACCAACGGCGAAAGCACUCUGCUGGGCCGACACUGACACUGAGAGACGAAAGCUAGGGGAGCAAAUGGG
rnacentral:rRNA from 1 species